GAGUGAGGGAAGGAAGGGGUGACUAGUGACAGAGUGAGGGAGGGGGUGACUAGUGACAGAGUGAGGGAGGGGGUGACUGUCACUAGUCACACCCUCCCUCUCUCUGUCACUAGUCACACCCUCCCUCACUCUGUCACUAGUCACCCCUUCCUUCCCUCUCUCU